CUCCAAACAAAGUUCCACAUAAAACUCUACCAUACCAAUAUAUGGACAAUUAUUUACAAUCAAGGACAGAAAAAGAUUUUACCAAAUUAUAAUUUUAACAAAAGAAAUUUUACUGCUGCACUCACAGGGACAUCAUGGACAACAUCUGCCCAAAUUGGAAAAUUACUUCAACUCUUUAAAUUUCCUCAGUGAAAAAAGCAACAAUAUCUACAAUGCUGUGUAUGCUGUGGCUCACAGUCUCCAUCAGAUGAGUCUUCAACGAGUACAAAUACAACCACAUGAAAAUGGG
rnacentral:lncRNA from 1 species